AGUUAAAAAACUUGAGUAUUAAUAGUUAUAUUCUUUAAACUUAAAAAAUUUGGCGGUAUUUUAGUCUGUUCAGAGGAACCUGUUUUGUAAUCGAUAAUCCACGAUGUACCUUACUUAAAUUUAUAAAUUAGUUUGUAUACCGUCGUUAUAGAAAAUUUUAUAAGAAUAAUAAUUUUCAAUAAAUUUAAUAAAAUUAUAUAUCAGAUCAAGGUGCAGCAUAUAGUUAAGUUUAUAAUGGGUUACAAUAAAAUUAUUUAUAUGGAUAUAAAUAUGAAAAAUUU
rnacentral:rRNA from 1 species